GUUGUUCAUAUGCACAGUUAAUAAUUAAAAUAAUAGUUUAUUAUGACAGUUGCAGUUACAGAUGUUGCCACCUACUGGGCAUCUCCAAGGUGACGAAGUAACGUGAGGGAUCGUUUAUCACGUUUAUAAAAGCAAACAGUAAAAAGGGGAGGAGACACAUUGAAAUUAGUUUCGUUUUGUGCUUCCAACCAAGCACGAUCUAAAAACAAAAAACAAAACAAAAACAAAAAAAACUAGUGUCUCAUCAAGUACCACCAUAAUGACCAACAUUACAAUACAGUAGCAGCCUAACUGGUCAUGAAAAAAAUAUGAGAUUUUAUCCCUGAAAGCUAUAUCUAAUUGUAAUUGUAUUAUAACAUUACUGGCAGUUUUAACAAUGGCACUCACUGUACUUCAAUAGAGGAAAAUGGAAAAACAAAAACAAUAUUGCAACCUCUGUAAAUAAUAACAUGCUGGAUUAAAAAACAUUAUUAAGAGAUUAAACAUUUCAUUUAAUUAUUCAUUUGCAGUUGGCGCGGAAAAAAGGACUGGUUUGCACAUCUGCCUGAAAGCCUGCAUGGUAGGGUUUUUCAGUGUCUGAGUCCUCAUCGGCCCUUCCAUUUUGGGAAGCUCAUCUGCAGCUGAAAGGGUGAAAGAGAAAGGCUCAUCUAAACAAACGCUGCCCAUGAAACCAUGACACGCGUCCAGCUGCAGCUCUGUUCUCUGGUCAAAGAGAUAAAAUGA